rnacentral:rRNA from 1 species
AGACCCGAAACCCGGUGAUCUAGCCAUGGGCAGGUUGAAGGUUGGGUAACACUAACUGGAGGACCGAACCGACUAAUGUUGAAAAAUUAGCGGAUGACCUGUGGCUGGGGGUGAAAGGCCAAUCAAACCGGGAGAUAGCUGGUUCUCCCCGAAAGCUAUUUAGGUAGCGCCUCGUGAAUUCAUCUCCGGGGGUAGAGCACUGUUUCGGCUAGGGGGCCAUCCCGGCUUACCAACCCGAUGCAAACUGCGAAUACCGGAGAAUGUUAUCACGGGAGACACACGGCGGGUGCUAACGUCCGUCGUGAAGAGGGAAACAACCCAGACCGCCAGCUAAGGUCCCAAAGUCAUGGUUAAGUGGGAAACGAUGUGGGAAGGCCCAGACAGCCAGGAUGUUGGCUUAGAAGCAGCCAUCAUUUAAAGAAAGCGUAAUAGCUCACUGGUCGAGUCGGCCUGCGCGGAAGAUGUAACGGGGCUAAACCAUGCACCGAAGCUGCGGCAGCGACACUCAGGUGUUGUUGGGUAGGGGAGCGUUCUGUAAGCCUGCGAAGGUGGCCUGUGAGGGUUGCUGGAGGUAUCAGAAGUGCGAAUGCUGACAUAAGUAACGAUAAAGCGGGUGAAAAGCCCGCUCGCCGGAAGACCAAGGGUUCCUGUCCAACGUUAAUCGGGGCAGGGUGAGUCGACCCCUAAGGCGAGGCCGAAAGGCGUAGUCGAUGGGAAACGGGUUAAUAUUCCCGUACUUGGUGUUACUGCGAAGGGGGGACGGAGAAGGCUAUGUUGGCCGGGCGACGGUUGUCCCGGUUUAAGCGUGUAGGUGUGUGU